GGGCGAUUAGCUCAGCUGGUUAGAGCAUCACAUUGACAUUGUGGAGGUCACAGGUUCGAGUCCCGUAUCGCCCACCA
rnacentral:tRNA from 3 species